UCCAGCGUGGUAUAGUGGUUUGAAGGUUGGACUAAGACUCUGGAGACCAGGGUUCGAAUUCCGACUCGGCCAUGGAA